CGUUGGUCGACUGGAAGGUGACCUCUUCUAAGGGUGUCCUUGGGCAGGGUAUUUAGAUCAGCCCUACUGCUCCUGAGCCCAAAUCCCAUGACCAUGCCCCCACCUCUCCUUUGUUGAAUGAAGGGAGUCUGGUUGCUAAAAAGUGAGUUUUCUUAAUCAGUAUGUAUGGCCCCUCUGCACAUGCUGUUUCUUCAUAUUUAUGAGGCCUUCAAGCUUUGUCAGUUUUCUGAUAGAUAUGGAAUUUUAAUUUGAUAGUCCCAACAACGAUGGGUACUGAUGGAGCUAUCUAUUAUUUAUUGUCAAUCUGUAAUACUUUUGUCAGCUUCUAGCAUGUCGUUGCUCUGCCAGAGUGCAAUUUUCUCUGCAUGGCAUACACCAGUUACCAUUAGUUGAUAUGUUUGUUGAAGUUUUAUUGCAAGUUAAAUAAAUGUGUAGUGUGGCAUACUGAUUAUUAUA